ACGGAAGGCAGCAGUGGGGAAUAUUGGACAAUGGGGGAAACCCUGAUCCAGCGACGCCGCGUGAGUGAAGAAGUAUUUCGGUAUGUAAAGCUCUAUCAGCAAGGAAGAAAAUGACGGUACUUGACUAAGAAACUCCGGCUAAAUACGUGCCAGCAGCCGCGGUAAUACGUAGGUGGCAAGCGUUAUCCGGAUUUACUGGGUGUAAAGGGAGUGUAGGUGGUUAUGUAAGUCAGAUGUGAAAACCCGGGGCUCAACCCCGUGACUGCAUUUGAAACUGCGUAACUAGAGUGCAGGAGAGGUAAGUGGAAUUCAUAGUGUAGCGGUGAAAUGCGUAGAUAUUAGGAGGAACACCAGUGGCGAAGGCGGCUUACUGGACUGUAACUGACACUGAGGCUCGAAAGCGUGGGGAGCAAACAGGAUUAGAUACCCUGGUA
rnacentral:rRNA from 1 species